UGUAGUCAUAUGCUUGUCUCAAAGAUUAAGCCAUGCAAGUCUAAGUAUAAACUAUUUUAUACAGUGAAACUGCAGAUGGCUCAUUAUAUUAGUUAUAAUUUAUUUGAUGCGACCUUACUACAUGGAUAACCGUAGUAACAUAGAGCUAAUACACGCGUAAACGGGCGACUCGUGAGGGAAGCUCGGUAUUUAUUAGAUCCAGAACCAAUACUUAGCCUUCGGGUUGAGUAAUUUUGGUGAAUCAUAAUAACUUCUCGAACCGCAGUGCUUUCGGGCGGCGGUAGGUCAUUCAAAUUUCUGCCCUAUCAGCUAUAGAUGGUAGUGUAGUGGACUACCAUGGCUUUGACGGGUAACGGAGAAUUAGGGUUCGAUUCCGGAGAGGGAGCCUGAGAAACGGCUACCACAUCUACGGAUGGCAGCAGGCGCGCAAAUUACCCAAUCCUGACUCAGGGAGGUAGUGACAAGAAAUAGCAACACCGGGCCUUCUAAGGUUUGGUGAUUGGAAUGAGAACAAUUUAAAUCUCUUACCGAGAACCCAUUGGAGGGCAAGUCUGGUGCCAGCAGCCA
rnacentral:rRNA from 1 species